UACGGAGGGGGCUAGCGUUGUUCGGAAUUACUGGGCGUAAAGGGCGCGUAGGCGGAUGUCUAAGUUGGGGGUGAAAUCCCGGGGCUCAACCUCGGAACCGCCUUCAAUACUGGAUAUCUUGAGUUCGGGAGAGGUGAGUGGAAUGCCGAGUGUAGAGGUGAAAUUCGUAGAUAUUCGGCGGAACACCAGUGGCGAAGGCGACUCACUGGCCCGAUACUGACGCUGAGGCGCGAAAGCGUGGGGAGCAAACAGGG
rnacentral:rRNA from 1 species